CUUCAAGCCUUCUCUUCUGAACAGAGUUGGUCUAAUAGGAUCCGAGGUAUGAUCUUAACCUAUGGCAGUGAAGAAUCUGCUCUAAAGUUUCCUAUGUUUUGGAGGCUAGAUAGUAUAUUUAAAGGUUCAGGCCUUCUUGGAAUUGCCUCGUCUCGAAACACUCACUCAAUCCAUUGUGCUCCAUUAUUACUAUCUCAUCUCUUGUUAGCUUUGUCUGUUCAUUAAUUGGUUUAAUUAGACCUGCUACAAGUUAUGAUCUUGGAUUAUUACCUUCACUGGUCAGCUUUGUUUGCUCAUUCUUCUUUGAUCUCAAUUUCUCAGUUCGCCGAUGAUGAUCGUUUAGCUGAGGAUGGAGAAAGCGAUGAACAAGUGGUUCUAGUGAGCCAAAGUGGAACAGUGAACCGGAUCAAAGUCAGGGACAUUUCGAUUCAAUCACGCCGUGCACGGGGAGUGAUUCUCGUGCGGCUUGAUCAUGCUGGAAAGAUUCAGUCUGCAUCUCUAAUCUCUGCAGCCGAUGAAGAAGAAGGCGAAGGAAGUCAGAGCCUUGAAGAGUCUGCUGCUAGCAUCCUCUUUGACUUUGCAUUAGUCUUAUUGUGAUCUUUCUUUUCAACUCUAUUAUUUGACUCAGCAGACACCGUACAUCUCAUUCAUCAUAGUACAUGAUUGUUCACACAGGCUCCUCGUGGUAUGAGUUAUCUUCACUGUUGUAGUCCACCUACUGUCCAUCGUUAUCUUAAGUCGUCAAAUCUGCUGGAAGACAGGAACUUGACCGUUAAGAUCUUUGGUCUUUCACGUGGCAAGCAUGAAACAUACCUAACCACCAGUGAUUGUUGAUCAGCCUCAAUGGAUGACACCAGAAGUUCUUAGAAAUGCAGCCUCAAUCCACUUCAUCAGACUAUAUUUUGCCGUUUGACAACAUCCCACAGAUUAAGAUGGUGGUUGUACUUGGAGAGCUUGGUUGAAGAGAUGAAUAUUCUCUAGUUGAAGCUUUGAAGCAGGGCAAGUCACCAAACCAGAGGUUACUGGGGCCAGCUGGACUUAUGCACGUCUCUUCAAGUCCGAAGUACAUUUUGGUCAUGCAGUUGAAGAAGGAAAGGUGUCUCCUAUUAAGGAAGCCACUCCUCCACAAAUCCCCAAAGAUGUCAGCUCUGCAACUAAGGGUGGGAAGGUCCGGGCUCCAACUCAAUAUCAUCUCCACCAGCCCUGAUGACAUAGGAUAUGGCGUGGGAGAUGUCAUUUCUCUCCUAUGGUUCAAACGCAGUCUUCCCCGUUACUGUACCAAAUUCAUUGAGGCUCCAUAUCUUUGCUCAUAUUUCUGUGUCUUUACACAAAUAUUGAGUACUAUUAGCUAGUGACAUUGACUCUACUUUCUGACACCUUGAGCAUAGUAUUGCGUGCUGACAAUGGUCCAUGCGUCUCCGGUGCUCACAACACCAUAGUAACAGCAAGAGCAGGCAAAGACCUGAUCUCAAGUCUUGUCUCAGGUAUAUUAACAAUUGGUCGUUGUCGUUGAUUUGGUGGUGCCAUUAAUGACGCAGCACGACACUUCAAGGACGCUUGUGACAAGAGUCUCACGCCUUACGAAUUUGUGGAAGGUAUGAAAAAGAAGGGUAUCCGUGUCCCUGGCAUUGGUCACAGGAUCAAAGAGUAGAGACAACAGAGACAAAAUAGUAGAGCUGCUUCAGAAACUUGCACCGUCUAAUUUUCCUGCAGUGAAUUAAAUAUUAUCCAGCUAGACUUGUUUUUUCUUCAUUUAUGUAUGUAUUUGUUCUCGAGAUUACCUGAUAACAACUCUCUAGUUACU